GGAUAUGAUGACUGAUUAUCUGAAA
rnacentral:ncRNA from 2 species